rnacentral:misc_RNA from 1 species
CCGAGUGAGGGCCCUCGCGGCCCGACCUCUCCACCCGUUGCUGUGACCGUGACCCCAUGUCUUGUCGCCUCGGGGGACCCCGACGCCCUGCGUCGGCCCCCCGGCGUGCCAACCCAACCUCUGCGUGAAUCGUCGUCUGAGUCAUAUUGCGAAAUAAAGCA